UACGUAGGGGCCGAGCGUUGUCCGGAGUUAUUGGGCGUAAAGCGCGCGCAGGCGGCUUCGCGCGCCCGCCGUGAAAGCCCCCGGCUUAACCGGGGAGAGUCGGUGGGGACGGCGGAGCUUGAGGGCGGGAGAGGUCGGUGGAAUUCCCGGUGUAGUGGUGAAAUGCGUAGAGAUCGGCAGGAACACCCAGGGAGAAAUCAGCCGCCUGGGCAAGUGCUGACGCUGAGGUGCGAAAGCGUGGGGAGCGAACCGG
rnacentral:rRNA from 1 species